UUUAAACUUAGCUCAUAAGUUUCUGUGUUCAAUUUUAAUUGUUUAUCUUAUUAAAAAAAAUUAAUUAGUAUUUUUAUUGUUAUUAGAUAAUAAAAUAUGAAUAGUAUUUUAUAUGUGACUUAUGUUUUUUAAUUUUUUUAAAUAAGAUAAACGAUUAAAGUUGGAUAUGAAAACUUACAGUCACGAUGAAG
rnacentral:pre_miRNA from 1 species